GCUCUGUAUCUCCAGUUUUCUAAUUUAGUCAGAAAGGCUGCUACCGAGACAUCAAUUUCUUGGAAGUUUACAGACUCUGGGAGUCUGAAAGCACAUUGGUCUGCAAAGCUGUCCACCUAUGGAGAGAGAAGGCAUCUGCUUCCUGAUAUGUGCCUUAAGAUUUCACUGACGCUUUGAUCCUGGGAAGCUCCUAAACUCUACAGGAGGGAAAACAAGAUCCUGACAACCAGGUUGGUAAAGACUGAGGAAAAGAUGACAGCACAACCCUCAGUUGCUAUAAGAAGCUGAAUGUUGAAUAGGCUGCCUUUUAUGUGUGGGCUAAAGGAGAACUUCAUCCUGCCCCAGGCCUUCAACACAGGAUCUUAAGGUGGCUGAUUAAUUUUCUGGGUGACCUUAAUAUUAUUUUCAACUCUCUCCUAAUUAAUAGAGAGAUUUUUCAUGCUUUAUUUUUGAUGCAAUGUAUUUUGCUAGUCAAGUUUAUCCAAGCUCACCCAGCUCUAUUUAAGAAAAUGGCACUCCACAACAGGCUUCUGUGUAUUUCACAGGCAUUUUUCCCUGGCACUUGACAAAUGAGAA